UAUGAAGUAUUAUUGAUCUUGGAUAAACUGUUAUACGAAUCCCUAAUAAUUGUCCUUCUGUCUCACUGGAUUCGUUUUUUUUAAAAUAUUUUUCAUCAUCCUCAGUCCUAAAUGAUGAUAUUACUAAAUAUCUUUGGCCUGUAGUGCAAAGAUAAAUGAUUAACUGAUGAAUAUCUUUGGCCCGUAGUGCAAAGAUGAACAGGUGUUGAGAUGAACAUGAC
rnacentral:lncRNA from 1 species